rnacentral:rRNA from 1 species
UGGGGAAUCUUGGACAAUGGGCGCAAGCCUGAUCCAGCCAUGCCGCGUGAGUGAUGAAGGCCUUAGGGUUGUAAAAGCUCUUUUUGCCGGGGACGAUAAUGACGGUACCCGGAGAAUAAGUCCCGGCUAACUUCGUGCCAGCAGCCGCGGUAAUACGAAGGGGACUAGCGUUGUUCGGAAUCACUGGGCGUAAAGCGCACGUAGGCGGAUUUGUAAGUCAGGGGUGAAAUCCCGGGGCUCAACCUCGGAACUGCCUUUGAUACUGCGGAUCUCGAGUCCGAUAGAGGUGAGUGGAAUUCCUAGUGUAGAGGUGAAAUUCGUAGAUAUUAGGAAGAACACCAGUGGCGAAGGCGGCUCACUGGACGUGUAUUGACGCUGAGGUACGAAAGCGUGGGGAGCAAA